CUUAGAAUGGCCAGACUUAACGUACCAGAGAAUAGUCAGUAUACUUGCAGAGGUCAGGCAUACAGAAAGAGACACAACGAUGAGGGAAAACCAAAAGUCAAGGAUACCAGAAUACAGGGAAGUCAAACGAAGCCAAAGUCAAUCACCAGAAAUAAACACUCAGAAACACACUCUCGGACAACCACUAGGGAAACCACGACAGGGCAAU